rnacentral:misc_RNA from 1 species
GAUGAAGAACGUAGCGAAAUGCGAUAAGUAAUGUGAAUUGCAGAAUUCAGUGAAUCAUCGAAUCUUUGAACGCACAUUGCGCCCGCCAGUAUUCUGGCGGGCAUGCCUGUCUGAGCGUCAUUUCAACCCUCAGCCCCCGCUCGCGGGGCGCUGGCGUUGGGGAUCGGCCGUCCUCGCGGCGGCCGGCCCCGAAACACAGUGGCGGUCUCUCGCGGACUCCCCUGCGUAGUAGCACUACCUCGCAGAAGGGACGAGCGGGCUGACCACGCCGUAAAACCCCCCACUUCUCCAGGUUGACCUCAGAUCAGGUAGGAAUACCCGCUGAACUUAAGCAUAUCAAUGGAGGA